rnacentral:RNase_P_RNA from 1 species
GGUAGGAAGCGAGUCUCUAUCGGUCCUAAUGGAUUGAGGAAAGUCCGCCCACCGGUAUACUACGCGUAUACGACAGGAAACCCUUUCCUUAACCGGAAGUUCAGGCAACUGAAGGUCUAUGCACAGAAAUGACACGGCCGAUGUAUGGUGAUGAUGUCGCAAGGAUGCAAAGCCUUGGCUUCGUAAAAAAUCGAAGUUCGAAUGCAUUCGCGAGAGUGCAGAGAUAACCGACGGAACAAGCGCACAUCGGAAACGAUGAAACAGCAAGACAGGGUUGGUGCAAGUUUCGCAAGAAACGCUUAGUCGAAUGAGACACUGUUCGUCCGGCCUUCGCAAGAAGGUAUCAGAUCUUUGGCUCUGAUUGCGGGAACAAACAAAAGGUGGCUUAACGCUCCCUACC